rnacentral:misc_RNA from 1 species
AAAAAUAAUAAAUAAUCAUAGACUAUUAAUUAAAAAUUUAAAUUAUUUAUUAACAAAACUUGGGCAUUUUGGUUAUCAUUUUUGGAGGUAAUUGAAUUGGUGAUUGUUGAAAUGUAGAAUGAUGGAAAAGAUAAGAGAAAGUAACAAAAGAAGAUUUAUUUGGUUCGGCUACAAAGAGCCUAUGUUCACUGACACCAAUCUCACAGAGUUACAUUUCGUUCACUUGUGUCAAUCUACAUAAUAUAUAAGAUUCCAUAUUUAUAAGGGAAUAUAUAAGAUAUAUAUGGUAUGAUAUCAAUAAACCAUAAAUCACUUCUAAGCCAUUUAUUUUGCUAAUUAAAUUCAUGAUUUUGUCAUAAUCAUGAGAUUCUUCUAUAUGAGACAUAUCCUAUGAAUUACGAGAAAAUCUCAUCAAUUCCAG